AGCAGAUUGUUAUGUAUUGUGGUUUGUUCCAGGUUAAGGCGCUGUCAGAGGGUCAGAAUAGUAAACAAGAAGGAAAUGAAACUCCCUAAUGCAAAACAGACUCCUCAUAAUUCACUGGAACAGAAUGAAAUCUAAAGCAUAAAGCCUAGCCAGAUGGUGACCGUUGGUGUUAAUUGUUUCAUGAAUAACAAUAAAUAUUAAAAUCAUAUUAACUUUUAUUAUGAAUAAUAAAAGAAACUCUCUUCCCUCCUCAACCAUUCUUCUUUAACAGGAACAUGCAAACAUCUGGUGGAACAUGUGAGACAUGGUGGCUCCUCCUGGUCUACAGGUUCCUGUGUUUGCCAGCUCCACCCAAUGGAUGAUGUCUGUUUCUCUCAAGCUUUCCUCAUGAUGUUAAUGGGGAUGAUUACGUAUUUCCAACAUCCUGGAGGUUUUGACUUCAAAGGCUCUGUGGGAUGGCACAACAUGUAAGUUUCACAGUUAAUCAGUCUCAUGCACAUUUUGAAAAUGACCAUAUUUCUUGUGUAAAUUUUAACAUGAGUUGACACAUCACACCUUUGGGUUGUGAUUUAAAGUGUAUAUUUAUAGCUCCUCAAGUUUUUGGAAGCAACCAUAAAUGUUUAACAUUCUCAACAGUACUAUUUCACAUAUGUUCUCAUAUAGACUUAGAGAAACCCCCACCAGCCCAUAACAUGCAAACAGACAGAGGAAAUACUAUUGUUGUAGACAGGAAAUACUAAGAGUGGGGCCUCACAUGACGCUCCUCAAGACAGAAAUUUAGGAGCAAAGUGACCACAGAAUGGCAGUUUAAGUGAG